UCAUGGGCAUGUGAAAUCCUGCCCUUCCUUCCCCGAAUCCUGCAGUCCCCGAGCGGUCAGAACGCCCGAGAAAAUUGCGUGUGUUUUGUCGGCGUGGUACCGAACGCUGCGUCACGGUGCUGCACCGAGGCCGAGGCAGAGCAAACCCCACUCCCCAGAGCAGGGAAACCCAGAUGCAGGAAAAUGAAUCAGCUCAUACAGUGCCACACACACAAGUGUCAGAGGGAGGGAGAAAUCACAGCUUUCCCCAGUUCUUUUGCGGCACUGUGCAGAAAACGAUCACGGAACAGUUACCCAGGUACAGCUCACGGUGACAGUGCCACCCCUGUGCACACAAUCACUGCUGUCCUACAGAAAUGUGCCAUGUCCCCUUCUUAGCCUUGUUUCCUGCCAGUCCCACAGAUUUACCUGCUGACAGUAACCUCAAUUCCUGGAUAAUGAGAUUUACAGCUGGAGUUUAACAUUGAAAUAACUCCUCUUUUAUCCGUCUCCUUACCCUCCCUGCGUUUAGGCACAGUUAAACCAUCGCUGUGGCCAAAACGUGGUGGCAAAAGGAAUUAAACCAAAUACAUCCCUGCUCUGAGCACACUCAGCAGCCAGUGGCACCUCCUUGAAAACCAUGAAACAGCACUAGCUUUACAAAGUCAGGGCGUCUCCACCCCACAACCGUGAUGGGGAAAACCGCAGAGAGUUGUCUCAGGAAAACAGGCUCAACCCACCCAUCGUCCACACAACCCAGCAUCGUGCCUUAGUCCAGCUGCUGGCUGUACAGAAUGCCCUCCACAGCUGCCUGGGACUGUUCUCAUGUGUGUGUGUGUAUUUAUGCCUGUCUGUCUGGCUGCAGGGACCACCGUUGUCGCUGCUGUUCCUGUUGUUCCCCUGCUCUGCGGAUCUGGCGCUGCGGGAGGCAGGGAUGCUCCAAGGGAGCCAGCUACAGCCAGCGAAGGCUCAAGCACCCUGCAGAGGCCAGGCUGCAGCCCAGGCGAUGGGGACGGCGGCCACGCGGUGCCUGAGCCCAGCGGUUGUUGCCAAACAACCAACCCUGAUGCUGGAGAUGUCAGCCAGUGAGUAACGGGGAUUAAACUCUCCUGCUAGCAAUCCUGAAACUUGGGUAAGCCUCAGAAUGAUGAAAGGCUAUGGAUUAAUGGUCCCUCUUGUAUGAGAAAGCAAAGUUACCACUCCACUGCAUAAUCGGGAGACUUCCUCGGCCAGAAGGACCAAGCUCAAGGCUGGCUGCGUCCUCAGCACUUCCAGGCAGAGCUGCCAUCUUCAUUGCUGGGCGCUUUAAGAAGAGAGGUGAAAGAAUAGUAUAGUAAAUGGUUAAGAGGGAAAGGUGUUCUCCCCUUCACUUCCUUAUCCUCUCUC
rnacentral:lncRNA from 1 species